UUCAAUAACAGUAAAGCUACUGUCAAUGUAUUUUGUUGUUGGAUUUGGUGACUGCACGACAGUUUAUAUGACAGUCAAUUACAGUCACCCUUACGUACGAGAUUCUGUGUGUUUUUUGUUGUUGGCUUUGCGAACUGUCGUAACUGUCAGCUGCAGUCAAAAUACUGUAGGUUUAACGUAAAAAGUUUUAUGUGUUUCUUUAUCUUGUUUGGUAUCGUGUAUGUAUUUUUGCAUUCCCAAGUAUAUAGCAAGCGUUUCUUGAAAAAACGAUUUCGGGCACACUUAAAAAGCGGCGUCGGUUUCGAGAAGUUGUGCAGCGAAAAAGUGAAGUGAAAAAGUUAAAAGUAAAAGUUAUGAGUGAUAUUGACGAAGUGGCUACCUUGGAGGAUCUUCUGGAGGAGUGGGAUUUCAGAGACCUAUCGCCCACAUUUCUCGCGAUCAGCGGACAUGUACAUGCAUGCAAAUGUAUUU